UACAAAUUCUGUGGUAGUAGGU
rnacentral:miRNA from 1 species